rnacentral:rRNA from 1 species
AAAACCCUACCAAGGCUUGACAUAUAGAGGAAAGGUGCAGAAAUGUACCCCCCGCAAGGUCUCUAUACAGGUGGUGCAUGGUUGUCGUCAGCUCGUGUCGUGAGAUGUUGGGUUAAGUCCCGCAACGAGCGCAACCCUCGUCCUAUGUUGCCAGCACGUAAUGGUGGGAACUCAUGGGAUACUGCCGGGGUCAACUCGGAGGAAGGUGGGGAUGACGUCAAAUCAUCAUGCCCCUUAUGUCUUGGGCUUCACGCAUGCUACAAUGGCCGGUCCAGAGGGCUGCAAUACCGCAAGGUGGAGCGAAUCCCACAAAGCCGGUCUCAGUUCGGAUUGAGGUCUGCAACUCGACCUCAUGAAGUUGGAGUCGCUAGUAAUCGUGAAUCAGCAACGUCACGGUGAAUACGUUCCCGGGCCUUGUACACACCGCCCGUCAAGUCAUGAAAGUCGGUAACUACCCGAAGCCGGUGGCUCUAACUCUUUUGGAGGGAGCUCGUCGAAGGUGGGAUCGGUGAUUAGGACU